AAGUCGUAACAAGGUCUCCGUAGGUGAACCUGCGGAGGGAUCAUUAACACGUAUCCACACGUUUAAACCAAACCGCGAACCUCUUUUUGCCUGUAUCGAAAGGUGUACAUGUAAGCCGCAAGAUAGAUUCGGGGCAACUCGUCUACUUACAGUACUAUGGUCUCCUCGAGGACCGAACCGCUUCGAUAUGGUGUACGAAAGCUAUCUUGGUUAUCUGUGCCAACCCGGUCUCGACCCGGAGCCUGGUAACCUUAUUACUCCCUAUUUUAACCCCUUUAUUAAAAAUAUACUGAUUUUACAUCAUACUUUCCUUUACUGGAAUUAUGAAGUAUACGAAACGCGAACAAUUCUUAGCAACGGAUAUCUUGGUUCUC
rnacentral:misc_RNA from 1 species